rnacentral:rRNA from 1 species
GCAUAUCAAUAAGCGGAGGAAAAGAAACCAACAGGGAUUGCCUUAGUAACGGCGAGUGAAGCGGCAACAGCUCAAAUUUGAAAUCUGGCCUUCGGGUCCGAAUUGUAAUUUGUAGAGGAUGAUUUUGGUGCGGUAUCUUCCGAGUUCCUUGGAACAGGACGCCUUAGAGGGUGAGAGCCCCGUACGGUUGAAUGCCUAGCCUCUGUAAAUCUCCUUCGACGAGUCGAGUAGUUUGGGAAUGCUGCUCUAAAUGGGAGGUAAAUUUCUUCUAAAGCUAAAUAUUGGCCAGAGACCGAUAGCGCACAAGUAGAGUGAUCGAAAGAUGAAAAGCACUUUGAAAAGAGGGUUAAAUAGCACGUGAAAUUGUUGAAAGGGAAGGAUUUGUGACCAGACUUUUUCUGGGCGGAUCAUCCGGGGUUCUCUCCGGUGCACUUCGCCCAGUAAAGGCCAGCAUCGAUUUUCGGCGGCGGAUAAAAGCAGUGGGAAUGUGGCUCCCUACGGGGAGUGUUAUAGCCCAUUGUAUAAUACGCUGCUGGGGAUCGAGGUACGCGCUUCUGCAAGGAUGCUGGCGUAAUGGUUAUCAAUCACCCGUCUUGAAACACGGACCAAGGAGUCGAACAUUUAUGCGAGUGUUUGGGUGUUAAACCCUCACGCGUAAUGAAAGUGAACGGAGGUGAGAGCCCGCAAGGGUGCAUCAUCGACCGAUCCUGAAGUUUUCGGAUGGAUUUGAGUAAGAGCAUAACUGUUCGGACCCGAAAGAUGGUGAACUAUGCGUGGAUAGGGUGAAGCCAGAGGAAACUCUGGUGGAGGCUCGCAGCGGUUCUGACGUGCAAAUCGAUCGUCAAAUCUGCGCAUGGGGGCGAAAGACUAAUCGAACCAUCUAGUAGCUGGUUACGCGA